AGUGAACGCUGGCGGUAGGCCUAACACAUGCAAGUCGAACGGCAGCACAGUAAGAGCUUGCUCUUACGGGUGGCGAGUGGCGGACGGGUGAGGAAUACAUCGGAAUCUACUUUUUCGUGGGGGAUAACGUAGGGAAACUUACGCUAAUACCGCAUACGACCUACGGGUGAAAGCAGGGGAUCUUCGGACCUUGCGCGAUUGAAUGAGCCGAUGUCGGAUUAGCUAGUUGGCGGGGUAAAGGCCCACCAAGGCGACGAUCCGUAGCUGGUCUGAGAGGGUGAUCAGCCACACUGGAACUGAGACACGGUCCAGACUCCUACGGGAGGCAGCAGUGGGGAAUAUUGGACAAUGGGCGCAAGCCUGAUCCAGCCAUACCGCGUGGGUGAAGAAGGCCUUCGGGUUGUAAAGCCCUUUUGUUGGGAAAGAAAAGCAGCAGGUUAAUACCCCGCUGUUCUGACGGUACCCAAAGAAUAGACACCGGCUAACUUCGU
rnacentral:rRNA from 1 species